AUCCUACGGGACGCAGCAGUGGGGAAUAUUGGGCAAUGGGCGCAAGCCUGACCCAGCAACGCCGCGUGAAGGAAGAAGGCUUUCGGGUUGUAAACUUCUUUUCUGGGGGACGAACAAAUGACGGUACCCCAGGAAUAAGCCACGGCUAACUACGUGCCAGCAGCCGCGGUAAUACGUAGGUGGCAAGCGUUAUCCGGAUUUAUUGGGUGUAAAGGGCGUGUAGGCGGGAAUGCAAGUCAGAUGUUAAAACUAUGGG
rnacentral:rRNA from 1 species